AACGAACGCUGGCGGCAGGCUUAACACAUGCAAGUCGAACGCAUCCUUCGGGGUGAGUGGCAGACGGGUGAGUAACGCGUGGGAACGUGCCCUUCAGUUCGGGAUAACCCAGGGAAACUUGGGCUAAUACCGGAUACGUGCGAGAGCAGAAAGAUUUAUCGCUGAAGGAUCGGCCCGCGUCUGAUUAGCUAGUUGGUGGGGUAAUGGCUCACCAAGGCGACGAUCAGUAGCUGGUCUGAGAGGAUGAUCAGCCACAUUGGGACUGAGACACGGCCCAAACUCCUACGGGAGGCAGCAGUGGGGAAUAUUGGACAAUGGGCGCAAGCCUGAUCCAGCCAUGCCGCGUGAGUGAUGAAGGCCUUAGGGUUGUAAAGCUCUUUCGUCCGGGACGAUAAUGACGGUACCGGAAGAAGAAGCCCCGGCUAACUUCGUGCCAGCCGCCGCGGUAACAC
rnacentral:rRNA from 1 species